CUCAAGUUGAUACUCACCGGCGUUAAGCGUGAUUAAAGUUCUCAUAAAGUAGGGUUAAAUUAACACUUAGUAGUUUUAUGCUUGUUGUUAAGAAAUACACAAACGAAAGUUACCCUAUACCACCUUGAAUACACGACAGCUAGGAAAACAAACUGGGAUUAGAUACCCCACUAUGCCUAGCCGUAAACAAUUAACUUACACCCACACCGCCAGGGAAUUACGAGCAAUGCUUAAAACCCAAAGGAUUUGACGGUGUCCCACCCCGCUAGAGGAGCCUGUUCUAUAAUCGAUGAUCCCCGCUUCACCUAACCAUUCCUCGCCCAUCAGUCUGUAUACCUCCGUCGAAAGCUUACCCUGUGAACGUCCGCAGUAGGCCCAAUGAUUCCCCAUCAGUACGUCAGGUCAAGGUGCAGCUUAAGGAAUGGCAAGCAAUGGGCUACAAUUUCUAAUCUAGAACAAACGAAAGACUAUGUGAAACCCUAGUCAUGAAGGUGGAUUUAGUAGUAAAAAGAAACUAGAGUGUUCUUUUUAACCCGGCUCUGGGACGCGUACACACCGCCCGUCACCCUCUUCGAUAGUACUAUAUCUGUUAAUAACCCCAUAUCACGUUUUAGAAGAGGCAAGUCGUAACAUGGUAAGUGUACUGGAAAGUGCACUUGGUACACUA
rnacentral:rRNA from 1 species